GAGCCUUUCAGUACCUGGGGAAAGUCGAUGCAUUUCUGAAGACAGCAAAACUCUGGGUGAAAUAAAUUUUGGAGGUGUGGGGCAAGAGGCCCUUUUCUUCGAGAGCAGCUCCGACAGCACCUGCAGGACAUGGAGCUGUCGAACAACCUCAAGCACCGCAUGCCUUGCUGCAGCGCACCACAGGGGCUCAGGAUGGGGUGAUUCAGGUCCCUCGGUGGCAUUAAGCAGCGGACCACAGCCAAAGUCCUCCCACUCCCCUGGAUGAACUGGGAGCACUGGAAAUCCCAGGGACAAAGGACCGUUUUUCGCUUCAACAACCCUAAAUUUAUUCCAUGGAAAAACUUCAGUGUCAAAAUUAUUUGGUCCAUGUGUUCGGGGAGAAGGCUGCCGUGUCCCAGCCCCUUGCAGCACGCCGUCUUCUUAUGGGAGCGCUUUUGACCUGCUCCUGCCUUCAUCAGCAGGAGCGCCGCCUUGCCCUAAAUAUACAUAACAAGCUGCGGAACUCGACUGGCUGCGAGAUAGGAGCCAUCAGUGGAUGUUGACAGCCUUGAUGUCUUGGCGGGCAGGAUCCAACAGCAUCUCCCACUGUAUGGCGCUAGAUAUUUAAUAAAGUAAAACCCCCAGGAUCAAGAAGGCUGCAAUCCCUCCCAGCUCCUUUCUUCUGCUUUGCUCGAGCUCUUUAAAGCCUGCCUCCCGUCUCUCUCCAGAAAAUCCUUUCAUGCCUCCCUCACCAGACUGACAUUUUGACAAGUUGCCACGAGUGACAUCUGAUUUGUACAAAUUUCAAGACUAAUAAAUCUACCUGUCAAAGCGGAAACUUUAAAAGGAGCUAAGCCCAGCGGGUAUAGUUUAACAGAACUCAAGUUGAUGAAACUGUAGGAUGGAGAAAUUAUAUCUGUCACAAUCCACCCACAUUAGUUCUGUAGAGAUGUUGGCAACUGAAACAAACGUCUUUCACAGCCUCGAAAAAAAAUAAAAAAAAAA